CGGGUGAGUAACACGUGGAUAACCUACCUAUAAGACUGGGAUAACUUCGGGAAACCGGAGCUAAUACCGGAUAACAUUUUGAACCGCAUGGUUCAAUAGUGAAAGACGGCCUUGCUGUCACUUAUAGAUGGAUCCGCGCCGUAUUAGCUAGUUGGUAAGGUAACGGCUUACCAAGGCAACGAUACGUAGCCGACCUGAGAGGGUGAUCGGCCACACUGGAACUGAGACACGGUCCAGACUCCUACGGGAGGCAGCAGUAGGGAAUCUUCCGCAAUGGGCGAAAGCCUGACGGAGCAACGCCGCGUGAGUGAUGAAGGUCUUCGGAUCGUAAAACUCUGUUAUCAGGGAAGAACAAACGUGUAAGUAACUGUGCACGUCUUGACGGUACCUGAUCAGAAAGCCACGGCUAACUACGUGCCAGCAGCCGCGGUAAUACGUAGGUGGCAAGCGUUAUCCGGAAUUAUUGGGCGUAAAGCGCGCGUAGGCGGUUUUUUAAGUCUGAUGUGAAAGCCCACGGCUCAACCCGUGGAGGGUCAUUGGAAAACUGGAAAACUUGAGUGCAGAAGAGGAAAGUUGGAAUUCCAUGUGUAGCGGUGAAAUGCGCAGAGAUAUGGAGGAACACCAGUGGCGAAGGCGACUUUCUGGUCUGUAAC
rnacentral:rRNA from 1 species